GGUGCAAAUGACGGGAGUCAGAAAAACUAAGUAAAAGAGAACAAAUAUUAUUAGUCACAAAUACAAUGUUUGAGAGUGUCAUGUUUGUUUUUAUGCUUACAGGAAGAUUUAUAUUCAUCUGAACUGAAAUGUUGAUCAACACACAAAGGAAUGCUGACUUACUCCAGGUGGAGGAUCUGUGUGUGUAUAUAGACUUCAGCUGGCAUUUGAAGUAUCUCAUGAAACGGGUUCUAGUCUAUGAAACUUUAUACCACAAUAACACAUUGUGUAAGGUCAACCUGGAAACGAAGAAAAGAAGAGUAUGACCAUAAUUCCCUGACUACAAAUUAUAAAUCCCUUUAUCCUUAAGAAAACAUUUUAAAAAGGCUUUUUCCAUAGCCUUGAAACACAUACACACAUCUUUUUCUCUGUUGAAUUAAUGACCAUGUCUGAAUCUAGCCACUGCAUACUGUCAUGCAAAAAGUUGUCAUAUGGUUAUUCUCUUACCUGAUAAUGAGUAAAUUGUUGAACAAAUGUUUUCAGAAACCUUUUUGGCCAGUCACUAAUAUAGCACAUGACUAUUUAAUUAGAAAUUAUUGGCUAGUUACAUUUGGGCUUCAGCAGCUUUAAACUAGAGACAUCAGCAUCCUCCUCAUGAUACAAUGCCGUGAAAUGGAUUACUCCUUUUAGCUCUGAUGCCUUGACAUAGCUCUCUGCUAGGCUGUUAUUCUUUCUUCACUCUCUGUCACACCACUUAAACUUGUAUCAGGUUGCAAGACUUUCACUUUGCUAACUGUUCUAAAAUAAAUAAAUAAAACUGCAGUCUGUAUA